rnacentral:piRNA from 1 species
UGCUGGCGUGGAUGUAUGUUUGUC